AAAAACUUAGGAUAAAUAAACCAAAAGCCUUCAAAGCUUAAAAUAAGGGUGUAAUUCCCUUAGUUUUU
rnacentral:tRNA from 1 species